CCUAAUGACGCCUGGACACAACUGCGCAUGCCUGAUUUCGAUUUUUCAACUUUUCUUCGACGUGAAAUUUGGCAGAAAACGGCAACGUGAAUUUUGUUUUGUUCAACUGCGCAUGAUCGAUACACACACUUUGCACGUUUUAUUUACUUAGCGUUAGGCCUAGGUGCGGGCUAUUCAAGCAAAUUGAUUUAACUACAAUACAAAGAUAAGUAGAAUUUCUAUUAAUUAUGGUUAUGCAUGAAAUUAUAAUGCCACUAUAGGCCUGGCCUAGAUCGAAUGUAGAGCACAGGCCUGUAUUUCCUUAGCAUACUGUAGUAAUUAUAAAAGACUUGUAUUGUAGGCCUAGUCGUACUCGGAUCAUGAGAUUGAGAGAGCAAGGUCCUUCCUUCCUACCUGAGUCUACUACUUCUGGGCAGGAUACCCGACAUAGCCUAGAUGCCUAGACCCUAAUUAAUAAUAAUAAUAAUAAUAAUAAUAAUAAUAAUAAUAAUAAUAAUAGUACUGUAAUAAGUAUAUAGCCUGGGCUGAGGCAUAUAGGCCUAUUCCCAAAUCAAAAAUAAGGAAGGAAUGCUCUACCUCCUUGCCCCAUUCAACAAAAUAAAAUAAAUACAAAUAUUAAUUUAUGUGUAUGACAUAAAGUUUAUAAAUAUAAUAUACAAAAUUACCAUAAAAUAUUUUUUAAACAAUUAAAAAAGAUAUUCAGUUAUAAAAUGCAUUAAAAUGUAGUUGCUGUGCAUAGAAUAUGAUAAAAAGUGUUUAUAAAAAAAAAUUACAGUGACAAAGUUAAAAGCAACACUUUUAUAAAAUACUGCAAAAAAAAAAUAAAAUUCAAUUGAAGGGCAAAUUAUAAUAAAAUGAUAUCAAAUUACCUGAAUGAGCCUUUAUAGUGGAUAAAGGAUAAUCACAAACUCAUCCUUAAAUUACUGGAUUUGUGAGGCAGCUAGUGUGGAGAAAUUUUAUGUGAUUAAGAUGUCUGUUAUUUUAAUUAUAUUAUUUAUAUUAAGGCUAUACUUUUUAUAAUAUGCAUUUAGCCACUCAAUCUCUCCAAGGUAUUUCAACCUGUUUUCCACACUAAUUAAGCCCAUCAUUAACAUAUUUAAUCAUUUUAAUUCAUUAAAGUCAUUUGGAUGGUUCUUUAUUUUAGAUAAUAUUGUACAUGUAUCUCAAUGAAUUUUUAAAUAUAUACUGUAUUUUCAUAUAUUAGUACCUACUUUCUGUCUUUUCAAUAUUUUCUUAUGGAUGGUUAUUAAUAAUGUAAUAAUAUAUUUAUUAUCAUUUAGUUUUUAGAUGAAACAGAAGACCAUUUAUUUUGAAGUCUGUGGCUGAAGAAUCAAGUAGGAAAAGUACUAAUAUACCAAUGUACUAAUAAUUAGAUGGAUUAUCAAACAUCCUGCACUGGAAUAGAAUACAUGCAGCAAGUGAAUAAUAUUACAUACAUAAUUUGCUUGAGGAGUUUUACCAAAAAAAA